rnacentral:lncRNA from 1 species
UUUUUCUUUCUUUGAAAGUAAAUGAUUAGCUAUUACACAAUUAAAGUGUUCUAAGAACAGGAAAUUUAAUUUGAACUUGAACAAUCACUGAAGUUUCAGUUAACCUCUGUUAAGAUAUGAAAUAUGAGAUUCAAGGGCUUCACGCUUCUUGUUUUUAGUACUGUAGUUUACUCUUAAAGCCUGGAUCUCCAUAAGUGCUUCUUUGUACCCCUGUUCAGGAAAAAAAAAAGAACCAAAGGACAGCACAAGAUCAAUAAGAAUUAAGGACAGAAAAUGCUAUAGUACAGGCCAACCUACUUAGGCAAUGGAAUCAGAUCAUGCAUCUUUUUCGUUUUUCACAAUCAAUGUGUGUUACUAGAAAGUGCAAGCAGUCACUAAAUGAACAAAGUUACUUAGCAGACAGGAAACACCCUUGUCAAUGUCUACAGAUAUCAGUAGGUGUCACUUCUGCAAAAGAAGGAACAAACAUGCCGAAUAUCCUCCUCCAGUACUGAUACUUGCCAAGAUGAAUAAUUAAGCAAGAAUUAAAAAAUAAAUCCUCAGUGCUAUAAAUUGUUCUAAAACACUAUACCAGGGAAGUGCGUACGUAAUUACAGUGAAGCAGCCAAGGCUCACCAAUAGUGAAUUGAAUUCUCAGGAACUUGCCAAAUAUCUGAAAUGGAACUAUGGUCACAUUUAGCACAUCUGAAGGUUCAUGUCACAAAUGUUGAUGCGAGAGGGCAUUGGAAUAAAGAGAAACAAAGGAUGAUGCAUCUUCCUCUGAUGGUAACGAUUUCACCUUGCCAUAGUUGCACGCCCGCAUGAACUGUUGGAUCCCAU